AAUAUUGGUCAAUGGGCGGGAGCCUGAACCAGCCAUGCCGCGUGCGGGACGAAGGUUCUAUGGGUGGUACACCGCGUUUGUGCGGGUAGAACAAGUGGUAUGUGUAGCUUCUUGACGGUGAUGUAAAAAUAAGGAUCGGAUAACCCACUGCCAGCUGCCGCGGUAAUACGGAGGAUCCAAGCGUUAUCCGGAAUAAUUGGGUUUAAAGGGUCCGUAGGCGGCCUUAUAAGUCAGCGGUGAAAGUUUUUGGCUUAACCAAAAAAUUGCCGUUGAUACUGUAGGGCUUGAAUUUUUGUGAAGUAACUAGAAUAUGUAGUGUAGCGGUGAAAUGCUUAGAUAUUACAUGGAAUACCAAUUGCGAAGGCAGGUUACUAACAAACGAUUGACGCUGAUGGACGAAAGCGUGGGUAGCGAACAG
rnacentral:rRNA from 1 species